CAGAAAAUCAGCGUUCACGUACUCCCCCCCACUUUUCUUACCUGAAAAAGACGCAGAACUGCGAGAGUUCAUAGCAACUCGUCCCUGGUGAGUCUUCAUCCAGAGGUAGCACGCAACUUACACUAUUCAAAUGGAAACAGACAGAUCUUGGAAUAAAGUCCAUCCUCGGCGUGCUGAACAAUCGCAUGUACAUGGUUCAAGGGAAGGAGUUAUUGGAAUGAAGAAAAGGUGGUCGGGUCGACACUACUCCUCUACCUAUGAUCGCCGCCAUUUGUCGGUAACCGUCCUCUUCCUAAUCGACGCCAAAUUAAUAAAUUGAGUCAGAUCAUUUGGCGUUCUCAUCUACCCUACAUCCUGCUGAAGAAUUACAUGGAUCACAGACUCAGAAGUCACAGUGAUUGGUUUGCCAGUAUCCUGAUGCGAAAUUAUGGUGCAGCAUUUCCUCUCUCCUGUGGUUAAUGGUGCGUCUUAGGCGGACCAGAGCUAAUAAGGCUAAAGGAUUCCCGAAGGGCAGCCUUAUAAAGGUAGGAUUUUUCUUAUACAUUGCAUGUUGCCUUAUAUCUAUGUAAUCAGUGGGGGAGUGAAUAGUGCAUUAGUGACUAAAAGGAAGAUCAUCGACAACUUUUAGCCGACCUUCUUAUGGUAGUUAUGACAAUCGUCUCAUCCUAAUUUUAGUGACGUAGGGUUUUUCGCAAUAAUUGUUCAAGAGUCUCUUUUGUGGCACCAUCAGUUUACUUCAUAUUAAUCAGUAUGACUGUGACUUCAUAGCCAUACCAGUUUUAUGAAGUGAACGGGUUGUCUCUACGAACCAGACAACGAAAAAUUAUUGCAGAUAACUCCUCCGUACCUAAAAUAGGUGAUUUAAGGGUUGUUAUAUCUUAUUUGUUACUACAUAAAGGUCCGGUUAAUGACAUGUGAAGGUGAGUUAUUACAUCACAAUGAACGUGUUUGUUUAUUAAUUAAUUAGUUCACCACUGAUGAGUUGAUUAGUAGACGAACACGAUUUAAAUACAUAUUUAGUAACAUUUUGGAUUGUCUAUUAAUUUCAACGAUUGUUCACAGCACCACUGACCAUCGUACUGAACGACGUAGCGCGAUCGUCCCCCAUGCCGGCCAGCAUUCCACAACGACAUCCAAUCCAGGACCAUGGCACUCUGAUGGACGCAUGUAACCAAACGAGUUACCAUCAGUAGUCCAGACGUUCGAGAACGUGAAAUGGUGAAUCUGCAGUGCGCCGACCUUCCUGAUGUGAACGAAUUAAAUUAAAUGAUAUGAAAGGAUUACAGAAGAGAAGCCUUAUAAAGGUAGGAUAGCAUGUUUUAUUAUAUGUGCGUGGGGGGAAAGUGAACGUAGUGAAUUAUAAAAGAAGAUCAUCGAAGGUCUUCUAAGUCUGUCAUCUUGGAGACGUAAGAUUGGCUACAAUGUUUCUUCGAAUGGUCUCUCGCGGGGCAUCAUCUGUUUCCUUCAUAUUAACCAGUAUGACUAUGAAUUCUUAGUCAUACCAGUUGUAUGAAAUAAGCGGAUUUGCUCUGCGAAUCAGAUUAUGAAGAAGUAUUGGAGCCAAUUCUUCCGUUCUCAA